GAGCAAAGAGGCAUGUGAAUCUGAAUACAGUGAUAAUGAUGGUCUACUUUUAGCCACCACAAGUAGAUUAACAAAAAAACAAAAGGGUCAUCACCGAGGGUCUGACCAUCAGGAGGUGGCUCAUGACAAGGCUGCAUGCUACAAACGUCAAACACAUAAACAACCUCCUCUAAUGAAGGUUGGGUCCACGGUGCUGCUAAUGACUUCAAAAUAUCCUAAUAAGGCUCAUGUGGCUUAUGCAACUCUCCUCAGCACCGAUCCAGAAGCCAUGGUUGAUGGAGUUAAGAUAGGAAGUCAAUUCUAUAGAGUGCGUAUUGAUCACCCUAUAACAAAAGAUGAGCCAUUAGUAAGGCCCAUGCCUGGAUGCAAAAAUAUUGGUGAUGCACAUGCCAAAGGAGUCUCAAUUGCUUGGCCUUCCAUGUUUGUUCAAAUGAUUAAUGGUUGAAUGCCCACAUCGAUGUGUAUAGAGAAAGGAAAAAGAAGGAAGGGCCUUUAUGAAUUCUAGCUAGUUCUUGAUUUUUUUUAUUUCUGGACUAUGUCUUUUUCCCUACAACAAUAUAUCGUUAUGUACAUAUACAAUGAUUUGUUCUGAACAAGCACAUUUGUUUGAAACCAUCCUAUGUUAUGUGGAUCUUGUUAUUGAUAA